rnacentral:lncRNA from 1 species
AUGACAUGUCCUUACUGUAGGGGACUGAAGACAAACCUGCAAUAUCUCUGAGAGUAUUCUAGCUGCCUCCGCCUUUGAGACAGAGCAGGAAGAACCUGUGGAUGGUGGGAUUCCCUCUUCUUGGAGAAGGGGAUGAGCAUUUCCCGCUGCCCUCCUGACACGCCCGUGGCUGUCUGCCUUGCUCUGUACCUCCAGACUUCAUGGAAAGCAUGCUCGACCUUUGACUUCUGGAAAUCCUUGAAUGAAGCACAAAAGGGAUUGGUCCUUGCCUGGUGUGAAGCACAGCUGAGCCAAAGGAGGAAGCAAUAUUGCAAUGGACUCUGUCUUUGACAUCACUACUUUGCAAAUUUGUUACCACUAUGGUCAAAUUUUUAUAUUCACUCUUACAUUUUAACUCAUUCUGCUCAUUAUAUUCAAUGCAACAUCUGCACUAAAAGAUACUCAGGCAUUAAUUUAUGCUUUUCUGUUUACAAAUGAGAAUUCAUAAGCAAAUUGAGGUAGCAAUUAGAUAUUUUUUAAAAUCGAAGACAAAACAGAAGACACAUACACACACAUCAGUGGAACACAACAGAGAGCCCAGAAACAGACUGAAAUACAGCCGACUAAUCUCUGACAAAGGAGCAAAAGCAAUUCAAUGGAGAAAGGAGAGUCUUUUUAACAAAUGGUGCCGGAACAAGUGGGCAUCCAUAUGCAAAAAAGAAAAAAAAAAAGAAUCUAAAAACAGACCUUAUACUUCUUACAAAAAUUAAUGCAAAGUAGAUAUUAGACCAAUAUAUAAAAUGUAAAAUUUUCAAACUUCUAGAAGAUAACAUAAGGAAAAAAUCUAGUUAACUUUGGAUUUGGUGACUUUUUAAAGAUACAACACCAAAAGCAUGAUCCACGAAGACAAAAAUUGGUAAGCUGAAUUUCAUUAACAUGAAAAACUUUUGUUUUGCAAAAGAUACCAUUAAGAGAAUAAAAAGACAAAUCCCAAACUGUGAGAAAAUAUUUGCAAAAUAUAUCUAAGGAUUCGUAUCUGAAAUAUGCAAAGAACUGUUAAAACUCAACAAGAGGAAAACAAACAACCCAAUUAAAAAUGGGCAAAAGCUGAACAGAUAUGCAGAUGGAAACUAACUAUAUGAAAAGAUGCUCUGUAUGUUAUUAGGAACUGCCAAUUAAGACAACAAUAAGACACCACUACACACCUAUUAGAAUGGCCAAAAUCCACAAGUCUGAAAACACCAAAUGCUGGUGAGGAUGUGAAGCAACAAGAACUCUCAUUCAUUGCUGUGGGAAUGCAAAAUGGCACAGCCACUUUGGAAGACAGUUUGGCAGUUUUUUACAAAGCUCACAUAGUCUUAUUAUAAGAUUUAGCAAUUGUGCUCUUCAUUAUUUACCCAGUGGAGUUGAAGAGUUAUGUCCACACACAAACUUGCACACAAAUGUUUAUAAAAGCUUUAUUCAGGAUUACCAGAAACUGGAGGUGAUCAACAUGUCCUUCAGUAGGUGAAUGGAGAAAUAAAUUCUGAUAUCUACAGACAAUGGAAUAUCAUUCAGUGAGAAAAGACCUAUCAAGUCAUGAAAAGGCAUACCGGGACCCAAAAUGCACAUUACUAACGAAAAAAGCCAAAAAGGCUACAUACUGUAUGAUUCCAAUUAUGUGACAUUUUGGAAAAGGGAAAAUUACACAGAUAGUAAAAUGAUCGGUGGUUGGUAGGGGUUGAGGAGAGGGAAGGAUAGAUGGUCAGAGAGUUCCGGAUGUUUAGGGCAGUGAGACCAUUGUGUGCGAUUUCACCACAACGGUGGACCCACGACAGUGUGCAGAUGCCAAACCCAUUGAAUGCAGACCACAAAAAGAUAAUAAUUACAUAAACUAUGAACUUUCAUAAUGAAAUAAAUCAUGUUUUAAAAAAGUAGACAGCUUUGUUCAGUUACUGUCUACUUUUUGAAAUGGAGAGGGUGGGAUGCUUACAUGGUUGUGAGGAUAAAAAUAGCUUAGAGAAUGUAAUAACUAAAACAGGUGUGUAAACAUUGUUAAACUCUUUUAUCCUCAUUAAAAAACAUUGCUUAAAUAUAUUUGUAAUUUUUUACAACUGAGCGAGUAGUGCAAACACAUUAACAUAAUUCUCCUCUAGCUCCGCUCAGAAGUCAGGCUUCAGUGCAGGACCACAUGGCUCCAAGUGCACCUGCCAAAUGCAACAACCUCUUUCAACGUCAUUAAAAUAUUUCAAUAGGAGGCUUGAUUUUAGACUCAACCUGUGUUUUCUCCCCUGGAAAAUGAAGGUUUUAUGAAACAAAGAAGGUCUUUACCAUUCUCAUCCAAAAUGCUGAGACAUCUGUGAUGUCUGCUGUAAGUGCCACCAGGCUCUCCUCUGAAAUCUCACAACGGGAAAAUAGAGACUGUCAAUUCUGCUUUUAGAAAGGGGAGAAUCAGAUCUAAUGUCGAAAUGCCAUGUCCUCAUUCAUACACAUCUUCUUUUACAAAUUCCACAGGUUUAGUUACUUUGGGAUUAAUAUGGGCCUAUUUUAAAGUGCAUUUAUUAAUUUAGCAUGAAAUGUCCAAAUGCAUUCUGGAUCCUGAGCUGACAUCCAGCAAUGCUGAGUGUGCGCCUGUGUGAGUCACCAGCCCUGAUGAGCCUCAGGUUAUUGUAUUCAUAAAAUGAAGGGGCUUAGGCUUGCUCCGAUUUUUUUAAAACCAUUUUUAACAGUAAAAACUUGUUUCUUGUUACAUAAAAAUGUACAAGAAAAACCCAAACAUUACAAAUGAUAAAUUAUAAUUUUAUUAAUAUAAAUAUUUUGUGAGCUCAAUUUAUAGGACUUAGUUAUUAUAAAAGAAAUAAGCAACAUGAGGUGGCCAUACUUUCCUAUUUUGUUCACAUGCUAUUGAUAAAUCUUGAUGUACACAGAAAAUUAGUUUCAAAGAAUAAUAAUUUUAAAAAUCUUGACUUGUAAUUUCAAGGGACUUUAAAAAAAUUCCUGCAAUUUCUCUUUAAAGGUUCUAGAACAGUUUUCUAUGUCUUAAAGCUAAAUAAUCACAAAGAACUAACUGUUCUCACAUUCUGUAUUAUAAAUAUGUAAGUCAGAAAAGGAACAGACAAAAGAAUAAAAACACAUGCGUGAACAAAUGGGCCUUGGUUUACAUUGAAUUGGAUCUGGCAAUGAACAUGGGUUAUAGUAGUAUUUUUGUGUGUAAUUUUACACGAGUGGACUGUUGACAAAAUAAAAAUUGUCUGCAAUCACUAUUUGGUGGUAUAUUUGCACAAAUGGUAAACAUAUACAUAGAGGUCGUGGGAGAAAUUUAUUUCAUGGCUUACCAGAAGACAGGUUAAGUUGGGA